rnacentral:tRNA from 7 species
GUUUGAUUAGCUCAAUUGGAAGAGCGAUCGGCUAUUAAUCGAUGGGUUGCAGGUUCGAGUCCUGUAUCAAACCCCA